CACCCCAGGCAAUGGGCAAAGAGACAUGGUGGUGGUGGUGUUCUUGUAUCAGUCAGAGGCAGAGAUGAUAGCAGUCUUUUGUCCAUCCUUGCUUGAUAUCUGCUUGGUGGCCAAAGCUGUUUUAUGUCUGGGACACAUAA